AUACCAUGAUGAGGGCAUUGUCUCCUCAUCUCUUUGAAACUCUCCCAUGACUUUGCCAAAGACUUACCACCCAACUGUCUGAAAUUCUGAAUUGAUCUCCUCAUUUUCUGAGUCU
rnacentral:snoRNA from 1 species